rnacentral:lncRNA from 1 species
AAUGAAAAUAACACUUAAACAUGUUAAUGGUUUUGUCCCCCCACCAGCUUUAUUGAAUUGGGAUUGACAAAAAUUUUAUUUUUAAGGCACACAUGAUUUUUGAUAAUACAUAUGCAUGUGAACCACAGUCCAGUUCAUUAACAUAUCCAUCACCUCACAAGUUAUGUGUGUGUGUGUGUGUGUGUGCGUGCCCAUUUGUGUGUGUGAGACAGAAGAUUUGAAACCUUCUCUGUAAAUUUCAGGUGUACAACACAUUAUUACCUUUAUUCACCAUACUGUUUCUAGAACAUACUUUUAUAUUGAAAGUGUGAAUCUUUUGACCAACAUUUCCCCAUUUCUUUCUCCUCCCAUCCCAUUAGAAUGGUAACCAUUCCAGUAGUAGUUACCAUUAGAAUGAUAACUACCAUUCUAAUCUCUGUUUCUAUGAGUUUGGCAUUUUCAGAUUCCAUGCAGUAUAUGUCUUUCUGUGUCUGGCUUAUUUUACUUAACAAGUCCUCCAGGUUCAUCCAUGUUGUCACAAGUGAUAGGACUUCAUUCUUUUCAUUCUUUUUCAAAGCUGAAUAAUAUUUGCUUACACAUACACACACACACACACAUAUUUUCUUUAUUCAUUGAUCUUUCAUGGGCACUUAGGUUAUUUCUUAUCUUGGCCUUUGUGAAUAAUGCUGCAGCGAACAUGAGAGUACAAAUCUCUCUUCAGUAUGGCGAUUUUAUUUCCUUUGGAUACAAACCCAGUAGUAAGAUUGCUGGAUCAUAUGGUAGUUCUAUUAUAUUUAAUUUUUUGAGUAAUUUCCACUGUUCUCCAUAAUGGCUAUACCAAAGGUUUAUUUAUUAACUGCCAAUAAAAUGUAAUGCUGCUAUGAAACAUGAAAAGUAUUGCAGUCACCCCCUUACUUGCCAAAUUUCCUCCUUUUUUUUUUUUUUUCCAUUUUUCAUUUUGAGGCAAGGUCUCUCUAAGUUGUCUAGGCUGUUAUUGAACUUAAAUUCUCCUGUCUCAGCCUUCAGAGUUACCGGGAUUACAGGCUACAUGCUCAGCUUAAAUUUUGUUUCUCUCACAUGAGUACACUCUUUUAUUUUUUCUAUGUAAUUUUGAUUUGUAAUCCUUGCGGCUGGUGUGCUACACUAUAUAAAAUAGCGCUUAUUCUACUUGAAAUUACCUGAAGAAAACUGGGAUUGAAUACUACAAAGGAGAAUACCUUGUGCAGUGGAAACAUAACAGAAGAUCCAUUCUGGUCUCAUUGUUUAAGGAAUAUUCCCAAGGCAAUGACAGAUAGGAACCACAUGAAAUUGACGGAGAUAAACAUAGACAAUUACUCUUUAAGAAAGAAAGCAUUGGGGCUGGGAUUGUGGCUCAGUGGUAGAAUGCUCACCUAGCACUUGUGAGGCACUGGGUUUGAUCCUCAGCACCACAUAAAAAUAAAUAGAUAGAUAGAUAAAGGUAUUGUGUUCAACUACAACUAAAAACUCUGAAUACUAAAAAUAAUUUUUUAAAAAGAAAGCAUUUUAGUUCUUUCUAAUUGUAUGAUAAACUUGUCUUGAAAAUAAUUGUCAAUGAUAUUUAAUGACUUCUCAUCUAU